GCCAUGUUGGUCCAGUCGGUUAGGACGAUACAGGUUACUGUAGAGGGCGGUUCGAAUCCUCAGCAUGGCA
rnacentral:tRNA from 1 species